GCUGGCGGCGGAGCUUAGUGAGCACUUGGGGCGGCUUAAUAGAUGUUGGGGGAACUCAUGUUGAAGGAGCUCGGGUGGUGCAGUGGGAGUUCGUCCGUCGGGGGAAUUCAGUCAGCACUGUGGGAAUCCGGCCGUUGGAGAAGUCCGGAGAGAUACUAUCUGCGGUCGAAAGUCGGAGGAGUCCUGGAAGGAUCGAUCC
rnacentral:lncRNA from 1 species